ACUGUUUUGAGUCAGGAUGUUUUUCACCUUAAUAACACAUGUCAAUGUGAUUUGCUACAGAAAACUGCUGGUGGGAAUAAAAGCCUACAGUUUAGAAUUCACUGUCACCAUUAAGGUAAGCUGCUGAUACAUUUCAUGUGGUACAAAAUAAAAAAGUAUCAAUGUAAAAAAUGUUUUUUUUUUUCUUUUCUUUUUUCAGCGUACCUCAUUAAUGACUGCACUUCGUGUAAUUGUAGGUGUAAUUACUGUGUCAUGGAGAGAGAAAAGUGGAAUAUCACUCGCAGCAAUUUAAGGAAAAGGGCUGUUAAAAGAGUCACCCAGUUUAUGAAAUCUUUGAAUGAUGAGGAUAGUAUGGAUUGUACUAAUGAAGAGCAUAGUGUUGAAAAUGAAGUAGUUACUUCAAGCUUUGUUUUGCCACCAAUCUGUGGAUCAGAAAGUGAUGGGGAAAGUGAAUCAGCAAGUGACGAGGAUAGCCUUGAUAUUACUAAAGAAGAUCUAGUAGGAUGUUUGAGAGACUGGGCAACACAUUUUCGCAUUUCAUUGAUUGCUUUGUCUGCCCUUUUGUCGAUACUGAAAGUCCAUCACCCAUCUUUGCCAAAAGAUGCAAGAACAUUACUCAAAACACAGACUCAUUAUAGUGUUGUUUCCUUGGCGAGUGGAUCAUUCCAUUACUUUGGUAUACAGAAAAUGUUCAGCCACAUAUUUCAGAAGCUUACAUUAGUUGUCCGGAAUCAUCACAGCUUCAAAUUACAAUUAAACAUGGAUGGUCUUCCAAUUUUUAAAAGUUCAGGUGUACAGUUCUGGCCAAUUUUAGGAAUGCUCCAGGCUUACACUAGGAAACCUGUGCUGAUUGCUCUUUACUGUGGGAACUCGAAGCCUCAGUCAUUGUCAGAAUAUCUGAAGGAUCUGGUCUGUGAGUUGAAAUCCUUGAGCACUGGUUUUGUUGUUAAUGGAAAGACCUUCUUCUUGAAUGUGUGCUCGGUAAUCUGUGAUGCUCCUGCAAGGGCUUUUAUUAAGGGUAUUAAGUCACACAAUGGAUACAGUGGCUGCGAUAAAUGUGUACAGUCUGGCAUUUACAUUAAUAAUCGCAUGACAUUCCCAGAACUUAAUUCUAGGGUAAGAACCAAUGUUUCAUUUUCAAAUGCAGAGGAUGAAGACCACCAUGUACAACAUUCCCCAUUUUGUGAAACAUCUGUUCCCAUGGUUAGUGGAUUUCCACAUGACUAUAUGCAUUUAGUGUGCUUAGGCGUGGUGCGUCGUCUGCUUGAUUUGUGGAUGGGAACUCGCGGCAAGUUGAGUUACCGUAUUUCAUCCAGGCAAGUGUCUAUCAUUUCUGGCAAACUGCUUGCUCUCAAGAGUUACAUACCCUCUGAAUUUGCUAGAAGACCAAGGGCACUUGAUGAAAGGUUACGAUGGAAAGCAACAGAACUUAGGCAGUUCUUACUUUACACUGGUCCAGUAGUUUUGAGGGAUGUGCUGACUACUGAGGUUUACCAAAAUUUUAUGUUGUUGUCUGUGGGCAUAUAUAUCUUGGCAAGUCCAACAUAUUGUUUGCUGUUAAAUGACUUUGCAAACACACUACUUAGAUCAUUUGUUAAGCAUUUUGGUGAACUCUAUGGUCACUGUUUUGUAGUGUACAACAUACAUGGUCUAACUCAUCUCAGUGAUGAUGUGAAGGUGCAUGGCCACUUAGAUUUAAUAUCAGGGUUUCCUUUUGAAAACUACUUAAAAAAAAUUAAAGGAAUGGUUAGAAAACCUAGCUCUCCACUACAGCAAGUUAUACGCAGAAUUUCAGAACUUGAUUCAACAAGUUUAAAUGAUGAGGAAACCCAGAAAGCUCACAAAAAAUUGAAAAUGCUGCACUCAGAUGGACCUGUUCCAGAAGGAUUCACAGGAGCGGUCUCCCAAUUUAAGGAACUGUCGAUAGAUGAGUUUGUCAUCAACACAUCAGAGAGGGACAGAUGUAUAAAAAUGAACAAUAAGAUACUAUUGGUUCAGAAUAUAAUUGUCUUUGAAAAUGAGGAAUAUAUUGUCUGCAAAGAAUAUAGACACAUUGCAAAGUUCUUUGAUUAUCCCAUUGUGUCCACUGAUUUGGGAAUUUGUUUUGUGUCAGAUCUGUCACCAAAGCUGAUGUGCUUAACAUUAGAUGCCAAAAUGCAGAAGUGUGUCCGGUUGCCUGUGGAGGUUGGAUUUGUUGUCAUUCCACUUCUUCAUGCAGACCCAUCCUAAAUGUCAUUCAUAGCGUGGUGUUUUGGUAGACUUUAAAGCUGAAUUUUAGAUAGUCCAAUCUUUUUCAAAAUGAAUUUAUGUGCAGACUGGCAUCACAAUUAGACAGCAGUGACAGAGUCCAGCCUGCCUUGGUUUAUCUCAGUAGGUCAUGUUUUACAUUGUAGAGUUUCUAGAAACCCAAGAAGUUGAAGUGGUACCAGCACUUUGGGUUGAAGAAGAAAUAUGUCAAUGGCCUGCUCAAUACAGACGUGAUGAAUUAGUAAAGGCCAUAAGAAGUGAGGAGCAACCUGGAAACAUGUGGGACGCAUAUUCUGUUAGAAUUUUAUAUAAAGCUGCAACCUACAAAGCUGCUCGUCUGAAACUUCCUCAAGCGGAAACACAAACCGACCUUCAGACAGCAGAGGAAGAAGCUGUGGACGAAAUUCCGAAGAAAAAGCGAAAAAGGCUACCAAACAUUCGUUUUGAGAGUGACGACGAAGAUUUGGUCAAACAAACAGGAUCGUUGCCUCCAGCCCCAAAGAUAACAGGACCAAACUUUGCAAUUGAGUCUGCAAUAAAGAGAAGAGUUCAAAAUAAGCCUCAAACCCCAAAGCAGAUGACAAGUCCUGAGCCCUGGCGUGCUGAAAAAAGCCCCGAACCCAGUCGGUCUAUGGGAAGUUCUGAAGCACAACAGUCGGGAACAGUUACUUUAAGUGGUCUUGCUCCUCUUCUGCAUAGAAUUCUUACAAAUCAGGAAAUGAUGAUGGAUCAACUAAAAGUCAUCCUGAUGAACAUGCAGAAAAUGGGCGAACCUGCUCAUGGGCAGGAUCCCAUCGACAGAGACUUACUGCCGCUGAAAGAUCUUACCUCCCUGCUGGCUGUGGAAAAACGUCUGAGGGAAGAGGCUGACCUCAAAAAAAAAAUGAUUACUGCAUUGAGCUUCAUUGGAGGAGUCGAUGUUAAGGAUAGCGUUUGGCGGGUUAUGGGGCACUGUAUUACCAACUCCCUUGGCAAACAACUUAACUGGCGUGGCAUCAAUGGCAAAACAGCUUUCCACAAACUGCAGCUGAAAGAUGUCAUUACUGGAACGGUCAGAACCAAUAGACUGACAGCUGCGGCCACUGAUCAAGAAAUUGAAACAUUUAUUAAAAAAUGGCUUCAUCUGUCAAGUGACCGAGACGGAGGGAGAAGAGAAAGGGAGAAACGGAGGAGGUCCCAAGACACCUGCUUGCAAGAUUGCCAUGAUGACGCAGAUGGGCCCAGUCAAGGAGGUCAAAUUCUUUAAUUUUGGAUGGCUCCAUUUGUCAGUGUUU